rnacentral:rRNA from 1 species
CUGUGAGCUCGAUGAGUAGGGCGGGACACGUGGUAUCCUGUCUGAAUAUGGGGGGACCAUCCUCCAAGGCUAAAUACUCCUGACUGACCGAUAGUGAACCAGUACCGUGAGGGAAAGGCGAAAAGAACCCCGGCGAGGGGAGUGAAAAAGAACCUGAAACCGUGUACGUACAAGCAGUGGGAGCACGCUUAGGCGUGUGACUGCGUACCUUUUGUAUAAUGGGUCAGCGACUUAUAUUCUGUAGCAAGGUUAACCGAAUAGGGGAGCCGAAGGGAAACCGAGUCUUAACUGGGCGUUAAGUUGCAGGGUAUAGACCCGAAACCCGGUGAUCUAGCCAUGGGCAGGUUGAAGGUUGGGUAACACUAACUGGAGGACCGAACCGACUAAUGUUGAAAAAUUAGCGGAUGACUUGUGGCUGGGGGUGAAAGGCCAAUCAAACCGGGAGAUAGCUGGUUCUCCCCGAAAGCUAUUUAGGUAGCGCCUCGUGAAUUCAUCUCCGGGGGUAGAGCACUGUUUCGGCAAGGGGGUCAUCCCGACUUACCAACCCGAUGCAAACUGCGAAUACCGGAGAAUGUUAUCACGGGAGACACACGGCGGGUGCUAACGUCCGUCGUGAAGAGGGAAACAACCCAGACCGCCAGCUAAGGUCCCAAAGUCAUGGUUAAGUGGGAAACGAUGUGGGAAGGCCCAGACAGCCAGGAUGUUGGCUUAGAAGCAGCCAUCAUUUAAAGAAAGCGUAAUAGCUCACUGGUCGAGUCGGCCUGCGCGGAAGAUGUAACGGGGCUAAACCAUGCACCGAAGCUGCGGCAGCGACGCUUAUGCGUUGUUGGGUAGGGGAGCGUUCUGUAAGCCUGCGAAGGUGUGCUGUGAGGCAUGCUGGAGGUAUCAGAAGUGCGAAUGCUGACAUAAGUAACGAUAAAGCGGGUGAAAAGCCCGCUCGCCGGAAGACCAAGGGUUCCUGUCCAACGUUAAUCGGGGCAGGGUGAGUCGACCCCUAAGGCGAGGCCGAAAGGCGUAGUCGAUGGGAAACAGGUUAAUAUUCCUGUACUUGGUGUUACUGCGAAGGGGGGACGGAGAAGGCUAUGUUGGCCGGGCGACGGUUGUCCCGGUUUAAGCGUGUAGGCUGGUUUUCCAGGCAAAUCCGGAAAAUCAAGGCUGAGGCGUGAUGACGAGGCACUACGGUGCUGAAGCAACAAAUGCCCUGCUUCCAGGAAAAGCCUCUAAGCAUCAGGUAACAUCAAAUCGUACCCCAAACCGACACAGGUGGUCAGGUAGAGAAUACCAAGGCGCUUGAGAGAACUCGGGUGAAGGAACUAGGCAAAAUGGUGCCGUAACUUCGGGAGAAGGCACGCUGAUAUGUAGGUGAAGCGACUUGCUCGUGGAGCUGAAAUCAGUCGAAGAUACCAGCUGGCUGCAACUGUUUAUUAAAAACACAGCACUGUGCAAACACGAAAGUGGACGUAUACGGUGUGACGCCUGCCCGGUGCCGGAAGGUUAAUUGAUGGGGUCAGCGCAAGCGAAGCUCUUGAUCGAAGCCCCGGUAAACGGCGGCCGUAACUAUAACGGUCCUAAGGUAGCGAAAUUCCUUGUCGGGUAAGUUCCGACCUGCACGAAUGGCGUAAUGAUGGCCAGGCUGUCUCCACCCGAGACUCAGUGAAAUUGAACUCGCUGUGAAGAUGCAGUGUACCCGCGGCAAGACGGAAAGACCCCGUGAACCUUUACUAUAGCUUGACACUGAACAUUGAGCCUUGAUGUGUAGGAUAGGUGGGAGGCUUUGAAGUGUGGACGCCAGUCUGCAUGGAGCCGACCUUGAAAUACCACCCUUUAAUGUUUGAUGUUCUAACGUUGACCCGUGAUCCGGGUUGCGGACAGUGUCUGGUGGGUAGUUUGACUGGGGCGGUCUCCUCCUAAAGAGUAACGGAGGAGCACGAAGGUUGGCUAAUCCUGGUCGGACAUCAGGAGGUUAGUGCAAUGGCAUAAGCCAGCUUGACUGCGAGCGUGACGGCGCGAGCAGGUGCGAAAGCAGGUCAUAGUGAUCCGGUGGUUCUGAAUGGAAGGGCCAUCGCUCAACGGAUAAAAGGUACUCCGGGGAUAACAGGCUGAUACCGCCCAAGAGUUCAUAUCGACGGCGGUGUUUGGCACCUCGAUGUCGGCUCAUCACAUCCUGGGGCUGAAGUAGGUCCCAAGGGUAUGGCUGUUCGCCAUUUAAAGUGGUACGCGAGCUGGGUUUAGAACGUCGUGAGACAGUUCGGUCCCUAUCUGCCGUGGGCGCUGGAGAACUGAGGGGGGCUGCUCCUAGUACGAGAGGACCGGAGUGGACGCAUCACUGGUGUUCGGGUUGUCAUGCCAAUGGCACUGCCCGGUAGCUAAAUGCGGAAGAGAUAAGUGCUGAAAGCAUCUAAGCACGAAACUUGCCCCGAGAUGAGUUCUCCCUGACUCCUUGAGAGUCCUGAAGGAACGUUGAAGACGACGACGUUGAUAGGCCGGGUGUGUAAGCGCAGCGAUGCGUUGAGCUAACCGGUACUAAUGAACCGUGAG